GUCGCCGUUAUGAAUGACCCCUUUCCCCACCCCUUGGCAAGCUUAUAUUCUACGUUCAUCAUAGUGAGCUGUGCAUUUCAGAAGAACUGGAAUUUUGAGGGAACGCUUCCUCUAAAGAUUUUCUAUGUCAUUUGCGCGGUGAUGAUGAUCUCCUUGAGCUCGACUCUUGGAACUCUUCUGGGCUGGCAUAUCUACCUCAUCAUUCGAAAUAUGACAACUAUAGAGUAUUAU
rnacentral:misc_RNA from 1 species